rnacentral:rRNA from 1 species
UACAGAGGUCUCAAGCGUUGUUCGGAUUCAUUGGGCGUAAAGGGUGCGUAGGUGGCGCGCUAAGUCAGGUGUGAAAUUUCGGAGCUUAACUCCGAAACUGCAUUUGAUACUGGCGUGCUUGAGGACUGGAGAGGAGACUGGAAUUCAUGGUGUAGCAGUGAAAUGCGUAGAGAUCAUGAGGAAGACCAGUGGCGAAGGCGGGUCUCUGGACAGUUCCUGAGACUGAGGCACGAGGUCAGGGGAGCAAACGGG